GGGGCUGAACGGUUUCGACUGCGUGUGUUGAGUUAGGGGAAGCGUGUCGGUGCAGGCAAGAGACCACCGUAAGCGUCGCUGCAAACCUAUAAGCGCCGAUUCCAAUCAGCGCGACUACGCUCUCGCUGCCUAAGUAGCGAAGCGUGUCUGUCAGCCCGGGGUUGCCCUCGACCCGGUUCCUGGCAUCAGCUAGAGGGCUUUACUGUUCGGCUCGGUCACGGAGUCGAAUGGGACAUCAAACAGUGACUGGGAUCGUCAUCCUGGCUUGUUCGCGAGACUGGGAGAUCCAAGUAGAGACUUAGCGAACUGCACACGGAGAAGCCCUAGCGAUUCAACGUAGGACCCGGGUUCAAUUCCCGGCAGCUCCACAA
rfam:Rhodococcus erythropolis PR4 DNA, complete genome.